rnacentral:rRNA from 1 species
UACGGAGGGUGCGAGCGUUAUCCGGAAUUACUGGGUUUAAAGGGUGCGUAGGCGGCUAAGUAAGUCAGGAGUGAAAGCCCCUGGCUCAACUGGGGAAGUGCACCCGAAACUGAAUGGCUUGAGUGCGAAAGAGGGUCGCGGAAUUCCCGGUGUAGAGGUGAAAUUCGUAGAUAUCGGGAGGAACACCGGUGGCGAAGGCGGCGACCUGGGUCGACACUGACGCUGAGGCGCGAAAGCGUGGGGAGCAAACAGG